GAUGAACGCUAGCGGCAGGCUUAAUACAUGCAAGUCGAACGGGAUUCGGGGUAGCAAUACUUUGAUGAGAGUGGCGCACGGGUGCGUAACGCGUAUGCAACCUACCUUUAACAGGUGAAUAGCCCCGAGAAAUCGGGAUUAAUACACCGUAACAUUGCGCUGUGGCAUCACAGUGCAAUUAAAGAUUUAUCGGUUAAAGAUGGGCAUGCGUGACAUUAGCUAGUUGGUGAGGUAACGGCUCACCAAGGCAACGAUGUCUAGGGGUCCUGAGAGGGUUAUCCCCCACACUGGUACUGAGACACGGACCAGACUCCUACGGGAGGCAGCAGUAAGGAAUAUUGGCAAUGGGCGCAAGCCUGAACCAGCCAUGCCGCGUGCAGGAAGACGGCCCUAUGGGUUGUAAACUGCUUUUGUCAGGGAAUAAACCUUUGUACGAGAUACAGAGCUGAAGGUACCUGAAGAUAAGCAUCGGCUAAACUCCGUGCCAG
rnacentral:rRNA from 1 species